AAACGAUGCCACCAGCAAUCAGCCUCAGUUCUCACAAUGACUCGGCUGGCGGCUUCCGGGAAACCAAAGCUUUUCGGUUCCGGGGGAAGUAUGGUUGCAAAGCUGAAACUUAAAGGAAUUGACGGAAGGGCACCACCAGGAGUGGAGCCUGCGGCUUAAUUUGACUCAACACGGGAAAACUUACCCGGCCCGGACACUGGAAGGAUUGACAGACUGAUAGCUCUUUCUUGAUUCAGUGGGUGGUGGUGCAUGGCCGUUCUUAGUUGGUGGAGUGAUUUGUCUGGUUAAUUCCGAUGACGAACGAGACUCUAGCCUACUAAAUAGACCCGUGUUCCUUCAUGUGACACGGGGACUUCUUAGAGGGACAGGCGGCGACUCAGCCGCACGAAACAGAGCAAUAACAGGUCUGUGAUGCCCUUAGAUGUCCGGGGCCGCACGCGCGCUACACUGAAGUGAUCAGCGUGCAUUUAAAUCCUACUCUGCCAAGAGUGGGAAACCCAUUGAACCUUCUUCGUGAUUGGGAUAGGGGAUUGUAAUUAUUCCCCUUGAACGAGGAAUUCCCAGUAAGCGCGAGUCAUAAGCUCGCGUUGAUUACGUCCCUGCCCUUUGUACACACCGCCCGUCGCUACUACCGAUUGAAUGUUUUAGUGAGGUCUUCAGACUGGCCGGCGCAGCUACCCUCGUGGUGGCAACGCUGUGUUUGGGAAGAUGCCCAAACUUGAACA
rnacentral:rRNA from 1 species